rnacentral:tRNA from 1 species
GGUUAUGGCUCAGUGGUAGAGCACUCGGCUAGCAUGUGUGAGGCCCUGGGUUUGAGUCUCAGCACCA